CUGCACUCAGCCUGUUCCCCGCAUCGGGCUCCGGUCGUGCCUCACCUCCCCUGCUGGCUGGUCUUGGAUUUUGUUCUCCAUUCCCUCCGGAUAAGCUACUUUAAAGAAGUAAAAAGUUAGUGGUGGGUGGGGGAAAGAAAAACUUCAGCAAGAGGCAAAAAGAAAGAAUGUAGAAAAGUUGCUGGUGAGCAGAAGGGGUUCAGCUGAAGCGUCUUCCUCUGCCGCCGUCUUAACCAGAAGAUAAGAGUUUGAGCUUCUGAACCUGUCUGCAGACUUCCAGCAUUGCAACACAAUGGAUGAGGCUUCCUCAAACCAUCAAGCCCAUUUGUUGACAACAUUUUCAGCAUUGAAGAACUAUUGUGCAACAUUCAGUAAUUUCAAUGCAUAAAAUUGUUAGUGACUUUGGGGUAGUGUACAGAAUUUUAAAUUUGGACAAAUUUGCAUACAUAUAUAUCAAACAUCUAGAAUGAGAUAUAAAGUAAGUUUAAAAUAUAUGGUUCAUCUUAGAGAAUGAAUAAAAACAAGGUAUGUUUUGCCUGAAUCAAACAGAAAUGUUUGACUUCUGCUUUAAAAUAUUAUAAGGUAAUUUACCAUGUACUACAGACCUCUGUAAUUAGAUAGGUGGUAAUAGUUAAACGUCAAAAUUGAAUGAGAUGAAACAAUUCGGUAUGGACAGUAGUGGCAGAGGAAAAAUGAAUCAGAAUAGCAUGUUGAAAUGGCAAUUGAAGUUAAUGUACACUUUAGUGAAGUGGAAGUUUUUGUCAGAGUAUUAAACUGAUAGAAUUCUCUUGAUGA